rnacentral:rRNA from 1 species
GUAAGGAAUAUUGGACAAUGGCCGCAAGGCUGAUCCAGCCAUGCCGCGUGCAGGAUGAAGGUGCUCUGCAUUGUAAACUGCUUUUGUUCGGGAAUAAACCCCUCUACGUGUAGAGGGCUGAAUGUACCGAAAGAAUAAGGGUCGGCUAACUUCGUGCCAGCAGCCGCGGUAAUACGAAGGACCCAAGCGUUAUCCGGAUUUAUUGGGUUUAAAGGGUGCGUAGGCGGGUUAUUAAGUCAGUGGUGAAAGCCUACAGCUUAACUGUAGAAUUGCCAUUGAUACUGAUGAUCUUGAGUAUGAUUGAGGUGGGCGGAAUGUGUCAUGUAGCGGUGAAAUGCUUAGAUAUGACACAGAACACCGAUUGCGAAGGCAGCUCACUAAGUCAUAACUGACGCUGAGGCACGAAAGCGUGGGGAGCAAACAGGAUUAGAAACCCUAGUAGUCC